ACUUUGUAAGGUCUUGUGAGAACAAUUAAUAAAGUGGCCGUAUGCAUCGCCCAGAUGCAGAGGCCGGGGGUCAUCCUCCUUUUCUAAGAAAAACUAAAAAAGAAACUAAAAUGGGUGCCACCUACCUGGCACCGCAAAGCUUCCGCUCAGGAGGCGCACCAAGGGUAUUAUCAUCAAACUGGUGUUUAUGCCCUCAACUAUUAGGAUGAAUAUUUGUUAUAUGUCCAAAAGCCCUCACUCUUGGUAUGUGGCAAUGCAACAUGUCUGCAACAGGAUCAGAGACGAGGAUCGAGAGAAAUAUUAUACUCGGUCAUCCUUUUGUAUCAACUGUAAAGAUGGUAGCAUUUAUGGGCGAGCAAUAGCGGUGACAAGCACAAUCAUGAUAGGUAUAUGCUCAUGUUUUAGUUGCAUGGAUAUGGUCUUCUCAAGCCUACUACACACGCGUGAUAUAACAGCCGACUCGGCAGAAGCACCCAGCUGGACUGGAUAACCACGGCGUGCGCGUGCUGGAGGCCUAGCAGAAGGAGCUGCACACGCGGUGUCUGCAUCUUCGGCCUCGCUGCACCCCAGAAUCGAGUCACAUCGUUGUGGGUUGCGCUUUCUUAACACUAUUUGUCUCAGGGUGUAUUCCAUGGUUCAGAAUACAUGUACUUUAUAAUUUACAAUGCCUGGUUUGGAUAAAAACUGUUCCUUAAGCCUGUCAGAGGUUAUUUGAUAGCACUAUCCCCAGCUGCUAAUUUAUGCCUACA